rnacentral:tRNA from 1 species
AAGAAAAUAAUGUAAUAGGUAACAUGCCAGCUUUGGGUGCUGGAUAUGUGGGUUCAAGUCCUACUUUUCUAU